rnacentral:lncRNA from 1 species
GCGAAGGUCACCAAAUGUCAAGUGGGGCCCUGAGGACUCUAAAGAGCGUUUAAGUGGCUCUUGACGUCUGCCUACUUCUUAGAGUUGUGGCUCUGACCUUUGCUUUAUGUGUUGGCUUGGCAUGAGAAUUUGACUUGUCUUUGGUCCUGUGCCCACCCCUUUGGCUAAAGUGGACAGGUCUCUGGACUGGAUAGCCCAUGGAUGAUGUGUGCAGUGAUGGAGGAGACCUUCUAGAGGACAUUGUUUCUGCUACUGGAAUAAGAUAUAAAAGCACUCUCCAGAUAGACAUGGACUAAACGUAAAAGGGAGAACCAUGAAGGAGGCUGACUUCACAGCCCAGAAGAAGGGAAGGAUAUUUUAAGCAAGGCCUUCAAAACAGAUAAGUCAGAAGAGCC